AGCUUUGCGCAGUGGCAGUAUCGUAGCCAAUGAGGUUUAUCCGAGGCGCGAUUAUUGCUAAUUGAAAAAAAUUCAGGACUGGAUAGCUUCACAUCUCAGUUUAAAGAAAAACUAGCACCAGUUCUUCUCAAAUGUGUGCAAAAUAUUCAAAGCCAGGAAGUUGU
rnacentral:snRNA from 1 species